GAUGAAGAACGUAGCGAAAUGCGAUAAGUAAUGUGAAUUGCAGAAUUCAGUGAAUCAUCGAAUCUUUGAACGCACAUUGCGCCCCUUGGUAUUCCGAGGGGCAUGCCUGUUCGAGCGUCAUAUUAACCACUCCCGCUUGCGGGGUCUUGGGCUUCGCCUCCGGGCGGGCCUUAAAAUCAGUGGCGGUGCCGUCGGGCUCUACGCGUAGUAAAUUUUCUCGCGAUAGGGUCCCGGUGGAUGCUUGCCAACAACCCCCAACUUCUUCGGGUUGACCUCGGAUCAGGUAGGGAUACCCGCUGAACUUAAGCAUAUCAAUAAGCGGAGGA
rnacentral:misc_RNA from 1 species